GACGAACGCUGGCGGCGUGCUUAACACAUGCAAGUCGAACGGAAAGGCCCUGCUUUUGUGGGGUGCUCGAGUGGCGAACGGGUGAGUAACACGUGAGUAACCUGCCCUUGACUUUGGGAUAACUUCAGGAAACUGGGGCUAAUACCGGAUAGGAGCUCCUGCUGCAUGGUGGGGGUUGGAAAGUUUCGGUGGUUGGGGAUGGACUCGCGGCUUAUCAGCUUGUUGGUGGGGUAGUGGCUUACGCAGUCUUUGACGGGUAGCCGGCCUGAGAGGGUGACCGCGGUCCAUGCUCCUGCGGGACGGCCCAGUCGGCAACGUUGGGCAGUAGUGGGGAAUAUUGUGCAGCGGGGCCGCGCGUAAGGCGGCGACGCUCGGUUCGUGAUGUCCGUUUUCCGGUUGUAAACCGCGUUCGGCUGUGACCAAUCCUGAGUGACGUUACCCGGUAAAGAAGCACCGGCUAACUACGUG
rnacentral:rRNA from 1 species